GGACGAACGCUGGCGGCGUGCUUAACACAUGCAAGUCGAGCGGUAAGGCCCCUUCGGGGGUACACGAGCGGCGAACGGGUGAGUAACACGUGAGCAAUCUGCCCUUCACUUUGGGAUAACUCUGGGAAACGAGAGCUAAUACCGAAUACGACCACUUCAGGCAUCUGAUGGUGGUGGAAAGUUCCGGCGGUGAAGGAUGAGCUCGCGGCCUAUCAGCUAGUUGGUGGAGUAACGGCCCACCAAGGCUUCGACGGGUAGCCGGCCUGAGAGGGUGACCGGCCACACUGGGACUGAGACACGGCCCAGACUCCUACGGGAGGCAGCAGUGGGGAAUAUUGGACAAUGGGCGAAAGCCUGAUCCAGCAACGCCGCGUGAGGGAUGACGGCCUCGGUUGUAACGUAC
rnacentral:rRNA from 1 species